rnacentral:rRNA from 1 species
GUAGGUGGCAAGCGUUGUCCGGAAUUAUUGGGCGUAAAGCGCGCGCAGGCGGUUCUUUAAGUCUGAUGUGAAAGCCCACGGGCUCAACCGUGGAGGGUCAUUGGAAACUGGAGAACUUGAGUACAGAAGAGGAAAGCGGGAUUCCACGUGUAGCGGUGAAAUGCGUAGAGAUGUGGAGGAACACCAGUGGCGAAGGCGGCUUUCUGGUCUGUAACUGACGCUGAGGCGCGAAAGCGUGGGGAGCAAACAGGAUUAGAUACCCUGGUAGUCCACGCCGUAAACGAUGAGUGCUAAGUGUUAGGGGGUUUCCGCCCCUUAGUGCUGCAGCUAACGCAUUAAGCACUCCGCCUGGGGAGUACGGCCGCAAAGGCUG